rnacentral:rRNA from 1 species
GACGAACGCUGGCGGCGUGCUUAACACAUGCAAGUCGAACGGUGAAGCUCCAGCUUUCUGGAGUGGAUCAGUGGCGAACGGGUGAGUAACACGUGAGCAACCUGCCCCUGACUCUGGGAUAAGCCCUGGAAACGCCGGCUAAUACUGGAUACGAGAUUUUGCCGCAUGGGCACUUUCUGGAAAGUUCUUCGGUUGGGGAUGGGCUCGCGGCCUAUCAGCUUGUUGGUGAGGUAAUGGCUCACCAAGGCGACGACGGGUAGCCGGCCUGAGAGGGCGACCGGCCACACUGGGACUGAGACACGGCCCAGACUCCUACGGGAGGCAGAAGUGGGGAAUAUUGCACAAUGGGCGAAAGCCUGAUGCAGCGACGCCGCGUGAGGGAUGACGGCCUUCGGGUUGUAAACCUCUUUCGGCAGGGAAGAAGCGAAAGUGACGGUACCUGCAGAAGAAGCACCGGCUAACUACGUG